rnacentral:rRNA from 1 species
UACGUAGGUGGAGAGCGUUGUCCGGAUUUACUGGGCGUAAAGGGAGCGUAGGCGGACUUUUAAGUGAGAUGUGAAAUACCCGGGCUCAACUUGGGUGCUGCAUUUCAAACUGGAAGUCCAGAGUGCAGGAGAGGAGAAUGGAAUUCCUAGUGUAGCGGUGAAAUGCGUAGAGAUUAGGAAGAACACCAGUGGCGAAGGCGAUUCUCUGGACUGUAACUGACGCUGAGGCUCGAAAGCGUGGGGAGCAAACAGGAUUAGAUA